AAAGUAUGAAAAAACAUUUGUUCAAGGAUUAUCAUCCUUACACUGCUGAGUUGGAAUCCAUUCAGGAUUUGUUAAAUCCAGAUUGGUAGGUCCUACUCCACCUUCCAGUUUUGGAUUGUGUAGGUCUCCAAAGGAGGGGCUGAUAGCCUGCUCCAAUUAUGAUAAGUGAGAACCGUGAAAGGUUUUAGUUUGAUUUAGGUUUUUUUUUUUUAAUUUAGGUUUUUUGUUUGUUUGUUUGUUUGUUUUUGGAGUAGCUUUCCAAAUAACAGAGACCAUAAAAGUUCCUCUGGGUUAGUGGGUACCAAAGAAGUUGCAUUUCUACCAAGAUCCCAGGCAAUAUCCCUGCUGCUGUUUGGGGAUGUCAUAUUGUGAAUCAUUUUUCUAGACCACCUUCUUUCCAUUGAGCACUUUAGACUGAGUCUGGCCUUUGCUUACAAUAGCUAACAAUGACAGAUAGAUAGGUUGAGUAGCAAGAGUUGUAUUACAUCUUUUUAUUUGCCAUCUCUUUUUUCAGUUUCACUGCUGUAAUUCAAAUAUUUCUCUUCUACUGAAAAAUAGAAUGAUAAUCAGAAUAAGAUGACUUUUCACAGGCCUCAGAGCCAAUAGGAGAAUGAGCUCAUAUUGGAACACAGAAGAGCUGGACCCAAACCCUGUGUUCUUAAAAUGGAUGAGUUGGAAGUUUCAAGCCAGAUGGAGGUGCCAGCGCCAUGUCCUACUGGGCAGGUGAACCUCUCCUUGAGGGUGAAUCAGAGCCCACAGCAGCAUGCAGCCACUACUGCUUUGUGGUUCUUUCAGGCCUGUCUCCUUACUGCACAGGAAGAGUGUUCUAUGCACCCACAGUGCCUAUAAUUUAAGGUGUAGAGAAUGAAGGGGAAAUGGGUCAGAUACACCUCUGAAAACCUGUACUGAACUGUAUGUUGAAGGCAACAUGUUCUUUCACAUGAGAUUUUAGCCACAGACUGAACCAAAGGCCAAACCCUAAAUGCCAAGAGCCCCCAUAUUCUAAAGUGAGGUACUGGAUAAUCUUGCAGAGGCACAAGACCCAAAUUGAUUCUGCAGGCAUUGACUCAACUGCAGGCAUCACUCAACCGAGUGAAAUAAAAGAGUUGAGGUGGCGAAAGGAGGUAAGACUUUUUUAAAAGAGUUGCUAUCAUGGCAGGCUUUUUCUGUAAACAUGAGAGAGAGAGAGAGAGAGAGAGAGAGAGAGAGAGAGAUCUGUCUCCUUCCCUCCAUUCAGGUGAAAGGAGCUUAGAAGGGGCCCUCAUGAAGUCCAAAUCUAUUGAUAGUCAUUUAUCUUUGCUUCAUUGAUAAAUAAAAUUUUGUCUUCUUAUAAUUGGGAAUCUAUACACUCUUAAUAUAGUUGAAAUAUCUCUUCUAAACCUGCUGCCUUUUAUUUUUCCUGAAGGUGGAUUCCUUGUUACUGCCCUGCUGUGUAGAAACAAAAAUUUUGUUCCCUGAGACUAGGAUGACAGGUUGUACAAGGAGCAUGGGAUCAAGGAUAUCACAGCAGAUUUAUUUCAGGAUGGAAGGUGACUCUCUGGGAGUUAACAUGAGCAUUGUUCCACACACUUAGUAAUUCCCAUGUUAUUAGAGUUAGGGAAAGAACUGUGUCCACAUGGCACACCAUUUAUUCAUGGGUACCUCAAUGCUACCACAGGUUUGAUUAUUAUUUUAGAGGAUGUCAACACAACUUGGAAAGGCCUUUGUACUGAUGCUUACAGUACAUUACAGUUUAAGAACACAGAUGAAAAAUCACCAAGUAAAAAAGGAGCAUAGGGAGGAAUCCAGGAGAAACCAGGCUCAAGCUUCCAGCCACCCUCUUCCAGUGGAGUCAAGUGCACUGCACUUAAUUCUCCCAGCCAGGUGUGCGGCCACCUGUGCCAAGUGUUCCCAACCAGCUGCACUUCAAGGGAAGUUAUUGAAUAUGUCCUAUCCAACUAAAACAAGGAAAUGAUGAAAAAAAUAAAAUCACUUUCCAGAGGCCUCAGGGCUAACUGGAGACAGAGCUCAGACUGCAACUGAGAAAAGUUGGACUCCAAAACCUGUACUCUGAGCUUUACUGCAUGAGAAAGUUAUUGAAAUGUGCCUUGUGACAUUCAGAAUAAGUGACUUUUCAGAGGUCUCAGAGUCAGUAAGAGACAGAACUCAGAUUGUAACCAAGAAGAGCUGAACUCCAAACUUCUGUGUCCGGAAUUGGUGGGUUCUUGGUCUCACUGACUUCAAGAAUGAAGCGGCAGACCCUCGCGAUGCAAUGGAUUAAGACUCUUGACUAGAAUAAUCUGAAGCAUUCUGCGUGAAUUUGUGACCAAAGAAACCAAAAAUCAGGCUACCUUUGACAAUGUCAAAUUACAGUGAACUGUGGAGUCGAUUAUACCUCUCAUAUUUCUUUAUUAUGUUAAAUGCUUAAUUAUUUGCUUGAUUCUGUCUUUGUCAUAGUCCUUUAUUACAAUGACGUCUUAUUUAAGUAAAAGAAUUCCAAAUACAUAGAAAACAAAAGCAUUUGUUUUAUUUCAAAAUAAUGAAGAAACAUAAUAGGUUAUACAACUUUUCAAGAGACCAUUAUGCUGUUAAAUCAUUUAUAUAUCUUCUCUUUAUUUGGACUCAGAAAAUAUGGACAUUAUAAUGCAAAAAGUUACUGAAAAAUCAAUGUCAGCAUCAUCUGAACUCUUUUCCCCUAAUCUAAUCUAGGCAUUUGGAUUACCCAUUUCUAAGCACAUCAGUGGUUUUUGAAUGUCAGUAGCACCCUGCUUAAUCAAUAAGCCUUUAUUUGGCUCAAUGAACUGCUGAUACGUACUUUUACAUAUUCAAAAUCUGUCCCUCAGUAUGGAUACUAACUAGAUCUUUUUUGAAUGAGAAGGUCAGGUCAGGCUCCCCCUUGGCAAUGAUACCAGCUCCCUCAGAUUCUCAUUAAUGGAACCAUGUGCUCACUGAACAAAGAAUGCUUACAGAAAAAAAAAAGAAUAUUGACGUCAGUGUAUAUUAUAUUCCUUAAAAAUAUUUAUAAACGAGCAUUCGUUAUAGAAGCAAGGAACAUGACAGCUUAUUGAUUAUGCAAAUAUGUUCCUUGUACGCUUUUAAAAUAAAUCAAUUAGUGCAAGAGUUGGCAAAGUCUUCCUUAAAGGGCAAGAUUAUUAAAAUAUUAGGCUUUGCUGGCCAUUUGGUCUGUCACAACUAAUUAACUCUGCUGUCGUAAUGGGAAAACAGCCACAGACAAUAUGUGAAAUAAUGGAUGUGGCUGUAUUUCAAUAAAACUUUGUUUAGAGAAACAGGUGGUGGGACAGUGUGUUGAUCCCUGAACUAAUGGGAUAAAAUAUAACUUAAAUAUAAUAUGCAUGUAUGUACAUAUGUUUCUGUUUACAAAAUAGAAUUGAGUGUCUCUUUCAGCUAAUUGAGCACCAUAAUGUAAACCUACAAGAGGUACGAGAGAAUUUCGUAUAUGUAUUUGAAGUCUUGACACUGCUAAAUCUUUUGUUUGUAAUUGGCAUGCCAUGUUGGAAGACAUAAUAGAGAAACUGUCUAUCCAUGCGUCCUUUACUUAAGAAAACUAAACUCUUCUCUGAAGUUAUGUGGUAUAGAUUUUUCCUAAAGGAAGCCAACCAGUUGAAAGAUCAAGCUAUGCAUUAACUCAUCACACUUUAAAUAAGUAAAUAAAUAAAUAACUCACCUAGUUCAUUGUUUGGAUGGUUUAUUGGAUGUGAGAUACUUCAUACUGUCCUGACACAGAGUUUAUUACCUAUGUAAGAGAAGGCACAUAUGGUUAGGUUUCAAGAGAUAUUCUAAUUGUUUCCUGUGGUGAUGUUUGAACUCUACAGUCAAAUUCAGAUGCAUUUAAUUUGGUAAGGUAGACAAUUGGUUAAAUGUUUGGUGUCAAAGUAAGAAAUACAUAGUGAAUUGAUGGAGAGGAAUGUUCUUAAAGUGGUCUAUACAGAUUGACCCUAAAAUCAACCUCACCUUUAUAUCAACCUCGUCUUUGAAAAGAUUGCAGCCCCAAGGACUUUGAUUAUUUUUCUUCAUGACCUCUCUGGGUACCUGAUAAUAGGAAUAGACACACGAAAAAAAACCUGAUAAUGUUACUCUGGUGUAAUCACAACUACUUCUGCUCUAUUAAAACUACCAUGCGAUAUGACCACUUUUACAGUCAUUUGUUAACUUUCUCUUUUAUCAUCAAAGUUGUACUGCACAUACUCAAAACUGACAGCUACAAUAGAGUGGCCCAUAUAUUCUCUGAGAUCAAGACAGAAACAUUACUCAUCAAAUUCUAAUCUAGUGUCACAUAGGAGAAAUACAACUAGCCAGUGAGACUCUCACUGCUAUCUGGCUCACAGAAACAGAUAGAGCAACUUCUCAUCUAUUAUUGAAGCAUUGCAGAAAUUGUGGUGCAGUGUAUGUGCCUACACUAUAAAGUAGCUAGGCUUGCACUUUUUAUGUGUGUUUGGCCAUAUAAUUCAUCUGGGCCUAGUAUCAACUCAGGACAUGGAUAUACUUUUUAAAGUAAUUGAGUAAUGUAUAUCUUUAAAAGCAAUCUCGUUAGAGCUUUAGGACAUUUCUAACAAAGCAAUGAAAUGUAGAGAUCUUAAUACAUUUCUAUGACUAUGAAUGUAAAUAAUAUAUGUUAUUUAAUAUUUUUCACAUGAAAAGAAAAUACUAACCCAGAAUGAAAAUGUAUCAAUAAUCCUGAGUAAAUUAAUCUAACAACAAUGAAUGUUUUGUGGUGCAUAUUUGGCAAAGCCUUCAAAUUUGUCAGACCUUUACAAAUCAUUUUCUUAUGUAGAG
rnacentral:lncRNA from 1 species